ensembl:lncRNA
GUUAGAGGAGGCAGGUAGCCUAGUGGUUAGAGGAGGCAGGUAGCCUAGUGGUUAGAGGAGGCAGGUAGCCUGGUGGUUAGAGGAGGCAGGUAGCCUGAUGGUUAGUGGAGGCAGGUAGCCUGGUGGUUAGAGGAGGCAGGUAGCCUGGUGGUUAGAGGAGGCAGGUAGCCUGGUGGUUAGAGGAGGCAGGUAGCCUGGUGGUUAGAGGAGGCAGGUAGCCUGGUGGUUAGAGGAGGCAGGUAGCCUGGUGGUUAGAGGAGGCAGGUAGCCUGGUGGUUAGAGGAGGCAGGUAGCCUGGUGGUUAGAGGAGGCAGGUAGCCUGGUGGUUAGAGGAGGCAGGUAGCCUAGUGGUUAGAGGAGGCAGGUAGCCUGGUGGUUAGAGGAGGCAGGUAGCCUAGUGGUUAGAGGAGGCAGGUAGCCUGGUGGUUAGAGGAGGCAGGUAGCCUAGUGGUUAGAGGAGGCAGGUAGCCUAGUGGUUAGAGGAGGCAGGUAGCCAAGUGGUUAGAGGAGGCAGGUAGCCUGGUGAGCCUUGCAGUCUUAGACUGGCUAACACUUGUUCUCAAUGUGUGUGUGUGUGUGUGUGUGUGUGUGUGUGUGUGUGUGUGUGUGUGUGUGUGUGUGUGUGUGUGUGUGUGUGAGUGUGUACAGUAGGGUGUUUCCUGUGAAUGACGUCUGUAAAACACACUGCUUUGUGAUGGCUCCCUUCAUGUGGUUCCCUUCCUACAGUUAUUAGACCCACAAAAUUGGCUAUGACUUGGGAACUGUGACGCAUGUGUUGCGUGGGUAGCGUUAGCAGCUACCACUAGCGCCAACCACAUCUGUUGUGUAUUUAGCAUUAGCGGCUACCGCUAGCUCCAACCACAUCUGUUGUGUAUUUAGCAUUAGCGGCUACCGCUAGCUCCAACCACAUCUGUUGUGUAUU